rnacentral:rRNA from 1 species
UGCCAGACUCCUACGGGAGGCAGCAGUGGGGAAUAUUGCACAAUGGGGGAAACCCUGAUGCAGCGACGCCGCGUGAGCGAUGAAGUAUUUCGGUAUGUAAAGCUCUAUCAGCAGGGAAGAAAAUGACGGUACCUGACUAAGAAGCCCCGGCUAACUACGUGCCAGCAGCCGCGGUAAUACGUAGGGGGCAAGCGUUAUCCGGAUUUACUGGGUGUAAAGGGAGCGUAGACGGCGGUGCAAGCCAGAUGUGAAAGCCCGGGGCUCAACCCCGGGACUGCAUUUGGAACUGUGCUGCUAGAGUGUCGGAGAGGCAGGCGGAAUUCCUAGUGUAGCGGUGAAAUGCGUAGAUAUUAGGAGGAACACCAGUGGCGAAGGCGGCCUGCUGGGCUUUAACUGACGCUGAGGCUCGAAAGCGUGGGUAGCAAACAGGAUUAGAUACCCCCGUAA